rnacentral:rRNA from 1 species
UACGUAGGGGGCUAGCGUUGUCCGGAUUUAUUGGGCGUAAAGAGCGUGUAGGCGGCCUGACAGGUCUGCUGUGAAAACUCGAGGCUCAACCUCGAGAUGUCGGCGGAAACCGUCUGGCUAGAGUCCGGAAGAGGAGAGUGGAAUUCCUGGUGUAGCGGUGAAAUGCGCAGAUAUCAGGAAGAACACCUAUGGCGAAGGCGGCAUCCUGGACCGGUAUUGACGCUGAUGCGCGAAAGCCAGGGGAGCAAACGGG